AGACUAUCACAUUCAACCUAAUGGAGUUAUAGACCUCCUCAGGCUGGUUAUAGACUAUCACAUUCAACCAAAUAGAGUUAUAGACCUCCUCAGGCUAGUUAUAGACUAUCACAUUCAACCGAAUGGAGAUAUAGACCUCCUCAGGCUGGUUAGAGGCAGAUUGAGAUCACAGUCAUGUUAAACGCCGUAGAUGUUGGCUCAAUUGGAAAUUACCUUUAAUUAACAAACUCGCUACAACUUGCAAUCGGAUUGCAUCCCGGCCAAAGAAUCAAAAGAUGAUUAUAAUAACACAUGGACUUCCUGACUUGAUGGAAAGGAGACAUCUAUAAAGAAUAAACAGGUGAUAUAAUAACACAUGGACUUCCUGACUUGAUGGAAAGGAGACAUCUAUAAAGAAUAAACAGGUGAUUACAUGGACUAAUAAUACAUGAUAACAUUUCAAAAUAAAGAAUCUAUGAGUAAACAAAAUAAG
rnacentral:lncRNA from 1 species